rnacentral:rRNA from 1 species
CUGAGAGGAUGAUCCGCCACACUGGGACUGAGACACGGCCCAGACUCCCUACGGGAGGCAGCAGUGGGGAAUAUUGGACAAUGGGCGAAAGCCUGAUCCAGCCAUGCCGCGUGUGUGAAGAAGGCCUUUUGGUUGUAAAGCACUUUAAGCGAGGAGGAGGCUACUUAGAUUAAUACUCUAGGAUAGUGGACGUUACUCGCAGAAUAAGCACCGGCUAACUCUGUGCCAGCAGCCGCGGUAAUACAGAGGGUGCGAGCGUUAAUCGGAUUUACUGGGCGUAAAGCGUGCGUACGCGGCUUUUUAAGUCGGAUGUGAAAUCCCUGAGCUUAACUUAGGAAUUGCAUUCGAUACCGGGAAGCUAGAGUAUGGGAGAGGGAUGGGUAAAAUUCCAGGUG